UUGAAUUGAAUUGAAUUGAACAUCACCUAAUCCAUCUAUAAGGGCCCAUCCCCACUCCAGCUGUUCCAGCAGCUCCCCACUCCCGCAGGGGCCCCACCCAACUCCCACACUGUCGCAGCAGUUCCCACUCCCGCAGAGGCCUUGCCUAAUUUCCCCACUGCAGCAGCAGUCUCUGCUCCUGCAGGAACCUUUUCCCUAUUUUUCCCACUGCCACAGCAGCUUUUCCAUAUUUCCCCACUGCCGCAGCAGUGUCUGAUCCCACAGGAGCCUUACCUAAUUCCCACACUGCCGCAGCAGUGCCUGCUCCAGCAGAAGCUUUUCCAGAUUUCCCCACUGCCAAUGCGGCUCCUGCAGGAGCCUUACCUAAUUCCUACACUGCCGCAGCAGUUCCCGCUCCUGCAGGUGGUCUUCCAUAUUUCCCCAGUCCUCGCUUCCACAGGAGCUUUUCCAUUUUCCCCACUGCCACUGCAGCUCCGGCAGGAGCCUUGCCUAAUUUCCACACAGUUCCCGCUCCCAAAUGGGCCUUACCUAAUUCCCACAGCAGUUCCUGCUCCCGCAGGAGCUCUUCCAUAUUUCCCCACUGCCGCAGCAGUGUAUGCUCCCGCAGGAGCCUUUCUGUAUUUCCCGACUGCCAUAGCAGUGCCUGCUCCCACAGGAGCUCUUCCAUAUUUCCCCACUGUCGCAGCAGUGUCAGCUCCCGCAGAAGCCUUUUCUAUUUUCCCUACUGCCGCAAUAAUUGCAUCUUCAGCAAGAGUUGUCAUCUCUCUCUUUCAAGUGGAUGCUUCCACGGAAGUCAAAUUCUCUUCCUAGACACUGCCACAACAAUUAUAUACCAAAGGACGUCCAGCACCCAUCUAACAUUAAGCCCAGCUUUUUGGGGAGUCGUGAAUGUGCGUAUCUUGCUGCUGUCCUGUUCUAAUUGCUUUUUGGGGAGCACUUUGGGCUGGGCCGGACUCCAAGAUCACCCCGUGGGGGUGGGGUGUUGCCCUGGGCUCGGGAGCCUUGCCGAGCUCGGAGCUCUCUCCCCGGACAGCACGCCAAAUAUGCUUAACCUUUAUUUAAUUAUAAGUAAAUGUGAACUCGUGAAGUGAUGUUUCAUAAACAAAUUUCGGGAGGAGAAUUCACGGAUAAUUAACACGGCCAGUUCAUCAUUAGUGAUUACACCGUUUACCAAUCAGCUCAAGAGGAAACACCUAUAAAUAAUCAAGUACGUCCUCUCUUCAUUAUCUCUCGACUUUCAGAAUCCCUCCGCCACCCCGAUCUUGCACCUUUAGCCAAGUUUCUACCCCAGCUCAGGUAGAAGCACUCGGGGGAGCACUUUGGCCUGGGCCGGACUCCGAGCUCAGACCCCUCUCCCCGGAGAGCA
ensembl:lncRNA